rnacentral:rRNA from 1 species
AUUGAACGCUGGCGGCAUGCCUUACACAUGCAAGUCGAACGGUAACAGGUUAAGCUGACGAGUGGCGAACGGGUGAGUAAUGUAUCGGAACGUGCCCAGUCGUGGGGGAUAACUGCUCGAAAGAGCAGCUAAUACCGCAUACGACCUGAGGGUGAAAGCGGGGGAUCGCAAGACCUCGCGCGAUUGGAGCGGCCGAUAUCAGAUUAGGUAGUUGGUGAGGUAAAGGCUCACCAAGCCGACGAUCUGUAGCUGGUCUGAGAGGACGACCAGCCACACUGGGACUGAGACACGGCCCAGACUCCUACGGGAGGCAGCAGUGGGGAAUUUUGGACAAAGGGCGCAAGCCUGAUCCAGCCAUGCCGCGUGCGGGAAGAAGGCCUUCGGGUUGUAAACCGCUUUUGACAGGGAAGAAAAGGUUCUGGCUAAUACCUGGGACUCAUGACGGUACCUGAAGAAUAAGCACCGGCUAACUACGUG